UAUCGGAUUGAUACUAAGCCAUGCGAGUCAUUGUAGCAAUACAAGGCAUACGGCUCAGUAACGCGUAGUCAACCUAACCUAUGGACGGGAAUAACCUCGGGAAACUGAGAAUAAUGCCCAAUAGAACAUUAUGCCUGGAAUGGUUUAUGUUCCAAAUGAUUUAUCGCCGUAGGAUGGGACUGCGGCCUAUCAGUUUGUUGGUGAGGUAAUGGCCCACCAAGACUAUUACAGGUACGGGCUCUGAGAGGAGUAGCCCGGAGAUGGGUACUGAGACACGGACCCAGGCCCUAUGGGGCGCAGCAGGCGAGAAAACUUUGCAAUGUGCGAAAGCACGACAAGGUUAAUCCGAGUGAUUUCUGCUAAAGAAAUCUUUUGUUAGUCCUAGAAACACUAACGAAUAAAGGGUGGGCAAGUU
rnacentral:rRNA from 1 species